UACGUAGGGUGCGAGCGUUGUCCGGAAUUAUUGGGCGUAAAGGGCUCGUAGGCGGUUUGUCACGUCAGGAGUGAAAACUCGGGGCUCAACCCCGAGCCUGCUUCUGAUACGGGCAGACUAGAGGUAUGCAGGGGAGAACGGAAUUCCUGGUGUAGCGGUGAAAUGCGCAGAUAUCAGGAGGAACACCGGUGGCGAAGGCGGGUCUCUGGGCUGAAACUGACGCUCAUGCACGCAAGCGUGGGGAGCAAACAGG
rnacentral:rRNA from 1 species